AUGGCCGCGGUAUUUUGACCGUGCGAAGGUAGCAUAAUCAUUAGUCUCUUAAUUAGAGGCUGGAAUGAACGGUUAAACGAGAAAGAGACUGUCUCUUGUUAAAAUUUAGAAUUUUAUUUUUAAGUGAAAAAGCUUAAAUAAAUCUGAAGGACGAUAAGACCCUAUAGAGCUUUAUUCGAAAAAGAUAAAAUUUACAUUAGAGAAAAAGUUUUAUAUCUCAAACGAAUUUUGUUGGGGCGACAGCAAGACACAAAAGUAACUCUUGUUUUUAUAAACAUAUGAAUAUGAAUAUUUGAUCCUUUAAGAAAGAUCAGAUGAACAAGUUACCUUAGGGAUAACAGCGUAAUCCUUUCUGAGAGUUCUUAUCGACGAAAGGGUUUGCGACCUCGAUGUUGGAUUAAGAGUUCGCUAAGGUGCAACAGCU
rnacentral:rRNA from 1 species